CAUUCUGAAUAAUUUGUUCUUGAAUAAAUUAUGGAAAUAAUUUGAUAAUUCCUAUGGAAAAGACACAUCUGCUCCCAAACAAGCUGGUAAUAAAAUCUCUUAUGUGGAUUCUUAAAAAUUUGGAAUAAUAAUGGAUUUAGGGAUUCAUGGGAAAUGAUUAAAAAUAAUAGAAAGGUUAUUUUAAAAUAAGAAUAGUCUCAAAAGGUCUAUACACUACAACGUGUGUGUGACACUGAGGAACAGCUGGAAAGCAGAGGGAUUCUCAAAAUACUGGAGCCACCACUGCACUGGAAGAGUCUGCCCCACUGUGGCACUGAAGAUGUCAAUGUCUCCUUUCCCUGAGGAGACCCUGUCUUUCCCUUGUCCUGACCUGGACCUCAUCUCCUGGCUACCACGUGCAAAGACCCACAAAGUUAACCUUCUACAGGUUUUCGGAAGCUGGACAGAGCUUGUUGUGGAAGUUCACAACCUAGCCAAAAUAAGCCAGCUGGAAAAUAGGAUGCCUGUCUCCUUGAUGCAGGAAAUUUAAAGAGAAGAUGUCAGGCUGAUUGCAAUUCCACCCAAACCUCUGCCGCGAAGAAACACGGGAGAGGAAUUUUCUAGAGCCUCUCAGCUGUCCCUAUGAGUAACAUGGAGGAGAAUCUCAUAGACUGGUCCCAGAAGAAGAACUGCGGCUGGAGGUGAGGUUUGCCAGGUGCCCAGGUUUCCCAGGAAGGCUCAGGCAGCCAUAUGGGAUAUUUUAGCACUACAAUUCAACCAUCACUGAAAGUGUUGACUCUCCUAAGAAGCUCGCUCCUGUCCAAGGUCAGAGAUGAUGAGGAGAGGCCAAACCUCUCUCUGGACAGUGGUUUUCACCCUAUAAUGAAUAUAGGGACCCCCUGGUGGGCAUGUGGAAAAUCUGUAGUCUACAGCUGCUCCCAGAGACUCUGGAUCAGUGGGUCUGGAGAAAGGCUGAAGAAUCUGCAUUUUAGCCAGAAGUCCAGGGGACACUGGUGACAGGUGGUCCUUGGACUAUAUGUUAGAAACAUUGCCUGAGGAAGUGAGGAAACAUAUAUUUAGCCAAGUGCACUGACAUCUUAAGACCUUCUCUUUAUGCAUGUUCAUGUUUUAAUGAGAUCCUCAUGGAAUAAGCACUCCCUUGUACUCAUUUUCAUCCUUACGUAAACAGUAUUCUAAUAAAUGUAGCUAUUACUUUGAGGUCCAACCAUUUGACAGCAGACAUGACAGUGCAGACACCUCUGAGACACUUCUUAGUCACAGACCAGCCCCCUGCCGUGCUUCUAUUUUAUGCUCCAGAUGCAGGAAUUGGGUUUUCUGCUCCUUUCUUGAAGUUGUCUUCACCCGUCCUUUCUGACCAGCGUCUUCUCCCUGCAGCCCUGCAGAAUAGGCGAUCCCAUUGCUCUUCCCCACUUAUCCUCUCUCUUAAAAAAUGCACAAGACAUUUCAGGUCUUCUUUGAAGGUUUAUCACAAGGAACAAUGAGGAAAAGACAAGAGGAAAAUAAAUAUGGACAUGGAACUGAAGAGAAAUCCCAUAGCCCCACGAAAGUUACUCCCAAAAUUCAGUUUUUCUGUUUAGCGGCUACUGACCCUACAACAAUACCUGUUUUGUUACUUCCCUCUCUGUUUCUUUCCUUCCUUCCUUCACUCUUUUCUUCCUUUCUUCUUCCUCCUUCCUCCCUCUUUCCCUUGCACAAA
ensembl:lncRNA